rnacentral:lncRNA from 10 species
GUGCUGGCCUCAAAGCAGAGGCUCAGAAACUUUUUCUGCUUGCUGAUGCAUCUGAAAUCCCUGUUAACUAGCUGGACUAUUUCCCAGCCCUUCGCCAAGUGCCACCCUUGAGGCAUCUCUGAAAGAACUAUUCCUUCCAGCCCAGAACACUGUCUCUGAACAGCAAGAUGGCUUUGAAACGCUUUCACAACGAAGGUGUGCUCCACUGGGCACCACAACAUACGGUUCAGACGUUUAAAGCCUGUCUCAGCCCAAUUUCCUCUCCAUUUGCUCCCUGGGUAAGGUAUCCCCCCUUCAGUGCAGGCAGAACUGGCGACUUGCUUCUAAUCAACAAAAUAUGGCAAAGUGGUGGAGUCUAGAAGUCUGAGAUCAGGGCACCAGCCUGGCCGAGUUCUGAUGGCGUCUCGCUUUGUCACCCAGGCUGGAGUGCAGUGGCGCGAUCUCGGUUCACUGCAACAUCUACCUCCCAGGUUCAAGUGAUUCUCCUGCCUUAGCCUCCCGAGUAGCUGGGAUUACAGGCACCCACCACCACAUCCGGCGAAUUUUUUGUAUUUUUAGUAGAGACAGGGUUUCACCAUGUUGGCCAGGAUGGUCUUGAUUUCCUGACCUGGUGAUCUGCCCACCUUGGCCUCCCAAACUGCUGGGAUUGCAGGCGUGAGCCACCGUGCCUGGCCGACCACUGAUCUUUUCACUGUAUCCACAGUGUUGCCUUUUCCAGAAUGUCAUAGAAUUUGAAUCAUACUAUAUGUUGCCCUUUCAGAUGAGUUUCUUUCACUUACUAAUAUUCAUUUGUUUCCUCCAUGUCUUUUGGCUUGAUAAUUCAUUUCUUUUUAUCACUGAAUAAUAUUCCAUUGUCUGAUGUACCACAGUUUAUUUACGCAUUUACCUACUGAAGGAUAUCAGGACAUCUUAGUUGCCUCUGAGUUUUUGGCAAUUAUGAAUAAAACUGCUAUAGAAAGAUGUGUGCAGGUUUUUCUGUGGAUAUAGUUUUCAACUCCUUUGGGUAACUCCAAGGAGUGUGGUCGCUGGAUCAUAUAGUAAGAGUAUGUGUAGUUUUGUAACAAAUAGCCAAAUGUUCUCCAAAGUGGCAUUAGCAUUUUGCUUUCCCACCAGCAAGGAAUAAGAGUUCCUGUUGCUCUGUAUCCUCACCAGCAUUUGGUGGUGUCAGUGUUCUGGAUUUUGGCCAUUGUAAUAAAUGUGUGGUGUUAUCUCAUUGUUGUUUUAAUUUGCAUUUGCCUGAUGACAUACAAUGUGGAACAUCUUUUUAUUGAAGCUAAUGUUUUAAGCCUGGCAAUUUAGUCUCUUCUCUUCCUGUAACCCUGAGCCACUGAGCACAGCUUUCUCCAGAAGCACCUGUGAGUCACUAUACACCACUGCUAUCUCCUGAAUGCUGGAGGCACUGGAGUGGGCCCUUUCAACUUUCAUUUUCUUAUUACCUAGAGAACUUGGCAUUGGUAGAUGCCCAAAAAAUGUAUGUGAGAUGCCUGCACAUUAAAAGACUGGCUGAAAACUUAAGCAGUAUACUGGUUUAGAUCAUUCAUCGCUGUCGGCAAGAGUAAAAAGCUAUGUAGCAGCAU